UUAGUUCCCCGACUGGGGAUUGAACCCGAGCCCCCCUGCAGUGGAAGCAUGGAGUCUUAACCACUGGACUGCCGGGGAAUUCCCAGAAGACUUUUUAAAAAAAAAAUACUGCGUCUGAGGCACAUGAUUCCAGAAUCUUCUAGAUGAUCCUGCAACCCAUAAAUUGUCCUAAAAACUGUACGUCCAUCACUGCUUAGCUCAGUAACUGCUUAUCUUAGCACAUCCACGUGACAUGGUGUGACCUGCCAAAUUUCUGUUUAUUACUGUCUGAUGUAUUAUGUUAUACCUGUGUUGUAAUUAAUGAUCGCUCAUACAUACUGAGCACUUCUUGUGUUUCAGGCAGAGGUGAAGCUGUUUGCCCAAAUUCAUCCAGCCAGUAGGUGGCAUCCAGCCAGUAGGUGGCGGAGCUGGGAUCUGAACCAGUUUGCUGGACCCUGAAGCUCCUAUCCCUCUGACACACAAUUUGGUGCCUAAUUGCAGAACUGAAUGUUGUGCCGCAUCAGAAAGAAGUGCUUGAGAGUAAUUCUGAAUUAUCCAUUCCCAUGCUCGAGAACAGUGAACUCAGAUAUUUAGCAGCAUCUCUGGCCUCUACCUGCUUGAUGUCAACUCUCAUCAAUCCUCAGCGUCUCCUUUUUCUGUCUUCUGGUCUACUGGCAUGAGGAGCUCAAAAUAACUAAGUUUUAGCCACACACUCAGGUUUAGUGGAGUCCUAUGUCCUUUUGCAAAACACCCACUUAUCCCCAUCAGGAAACUGAGACCUCUAGUCCAGCCAAACCUAAAGUGCAGAUUCCCCAGGGGACCCUGGGAGUGAUGGUGAGAGAUGACACUAGACGUCCAUCCCUUGGUUCCCAGACCUUUGAAUUCUACCUAUCAGAAACCAACACCUCAAUCCCUCAGCAGUCACCUGCCAGCUGGUGCCUUAGCUGUGGUGUUUCAGACCAUCCCAAUGUUUUAUCAGACUGGUAGCUUCUAGGUGAUGUUCCAUACAGUAGGAUCACUGGAUCCCGGGAUCAUGUGCCCAUUGUUGUACCUGCUUUGACAUAAAAUGGAACCCUUGGUCUGAGGCAAUGUGUCAGGAUUCAAUCAGAGAAGCAGA